UAACCGUCCAUUUUAUCAAUUAUGGAAAAUGACGCAUAAUAUAUAAUUUAUUGGUGACCAAAAGCGCAAGUUUCCUCUCUCAAUUAUUCUCGGAUCCGAAGCAGAAGAGAGCUCCUCACUCUACCAUUGAGCUAAAAAGGUCUUAGAAUUUUACGAUUCCUGAUUAAUUUUAAAUUUUUAAUCGGCGACCCUUAUUUCGAUCAUUAAUUCAGAUCGAUCCAACUCAAUUCGCUGAACUGCGGAAAAAAUCGGGAAAAGAAAAGCUUAUUUUAAGAAAAAAUGGUGUCGGCAAAUAGUGAAAUGGCAGUUUACUGCUUUGACACGCUGGUGGCUCACUACAACAGCGAACAAGCUCCUCAUCCUGCCUUCGAUGAGGGUCAACAGUACGAUAUUUGUCUAUUACGUUGGAUUAUUAUUGGGUUUUUCUUAUUUACUUAAUUUUUUGAUGUUAUUACUAUUUUUGCACAUACUCUUUCUGAAUUUUUAUUGGAAUAUAAUUGAUCGAUUAUUUAUAUGAUUACGUUUUUACAUUUUUUUAUUGCUUUUUUCUCCGUUCAUAGUUACUGUAAAAAAAGAAAAUUUGCAUGCAAAAUUUUAUUUAUUUGAUUUCUUUUCUGGAUUGUUUGUGUUGAUGGAUGAAUUUUAUUGUGCAUUGUGUUUACUUAGUUAUCUCCAUUACAUUACGGAAGUUUUCUCAAAAGCAGAUUUCUUUUUUGUUUCUUUUAAUCUUUUAAUUGGAGGAUAGCAAUUUUCUGGGGGAAAAAAUGAAUUUUGGGGUUGAAUAUAAGAUAUCUAUUUUUGGCUUAAAUUUUCUCUUAAUGGUGUGAAG
rnacentral:lncRNA from 1 species